rnacentral:misc_RNA from 1 species
GAUGAAGAACGUAGCGAAAUGCGAUAAGUAAUGUGAAUUGCAGAAUUCAGUGAAUCAUCGAAUCUUUGAACGCACAUUGCGCCCUCUGGUAUUCCGGGGGGCAUGCCUGUUCGAGCGUCAUUAUAACCACUCAAGCUCUCGCUUGGUAUUGGGGUUCGCGGUUCCGCGGCCCCUAAAAUCAGUGGCGGUGCCUGUCGGCUCUACGCGUAGUAAUACUCCUCGCGUCUGGGUCCGGUAGGUCUACUUGCCAGCAACCCCCAAUUUUUACAGGUUGACCUCGGAUCAGGUAGGGAUACCCGCUGAACGUAAGCAUAUCAAUAAGCGGAGGA